GAUGAACGCUAGCGGCAGGCCUAACACAUGCAAGUCGAGGGGUAGAGGAAGCUUGCUUCCUUGAGACCGGCGCACGGGUGCGUAACGCGUAUGCAAUCUACCUUGUACAGAGGGAUAGCCCAGAGAAAUUUGGAUUAAUACCUCAUAGUAUUAUUGAAUGGCAUCAUUUAAUAAUUAAAGUUCCAACGGUACAAGAUGAGCAUGCGUCCUAUUAGCUGGUUGGUGUGGUAACGGCAUACCAAGGCUACGAUAGGUAGGGGUCCUGAGAGGGAGAUCCCCCACUCUGGUACUGGGACACGCGCCAGACUCCACCGGGAGGCAGCAGUGAGGAAUAUUUGACAAUGGGCGCAAGCCUUAUCCAGCCAUGCCGCGUGCAGGAAGACGCAUCUAUGGUGUGUAAACUGCUUUUGUACGGGAAGAAACACUCCCUCGUGAGGGAGCUUGACGGUACCGUAAGAAUAAGGAUCGGCUAACUCCGUGCCAGCAGCCGCCGUAAUAC
rnacentral:rRNA from 1 species